rnacentral:rRNA from 1 species
UGCGUAGGUGGUCGGGUAAGUCUGAUGUGAAAUCCCGCAGCUUAACUGCGGAAUGGCAUUGGAUACUAUUCGGCUAGAGGGUUGGAGGGGGGACUGGAAUUCUCGGUGUAGCAGUGAAAUGCGUAGAUAUCGAGAGGAACACCAGUGGCGAAGGCGAGUCCCUGGACAACUCCUGACGCUGAGGCACGAAAGCUAGGGAGCAAACA